GGCGUGGUUAAGACAUGCAAGUCGAACGCGNUUUUUCCGGUUAGCAAUAACUGGAAAAAUUGAGUGGCGAAUGGGUGCGUAACACGUGGGAAUUUAUCCGGAAGUGGGGGAUAGCUUGCCGAAAGGCAAAUUAAUACCGCAUAUGCCCGUAAGGGCAAAGUGGGGGACCGCAAGGCCUCACGCUAUCGGAGGAGCCCGCGCCCUAUCAGCUAGUUGGUGAGGUAAUGGCUCACCAAGGCUUAGACGGGUAGCUGGUCUGAGAGGACAACCAGCCACACUGGAACUGAGACACGGUCCAGACACCUACGGGUGGCAGCAGUCGAGGAUUUUUCUCAAUGGGGGCAACCCUGAAGGAGCGACGCCGCGUGGAGGAUGAAGGGCUUCGGCUCGUAAACUCCUGUCACCGACGAACAAGGCAUCCGAAUUAAUAAAUCGGAUGCUUGAUGGUAGUCGGAGAGGAAGGGGCGGCUAACUCUGUGCCAGCAGCCGCGGUGAUACAGAGGCCCCAAGCGUUGUUCGGAUUUACUGGGCGUAAAGGGUGUGUAGGGGGUUGGGUAAGUUUGACGUGAAAUCCCGUUGCUCAACNACGGAACUGCGU
rnacentral:rRNA from 1 species